CGCGCGUUUCGUCGGGGCGGAGCUCGACCGCCACCACCGGAAGUAGUUGCGUUCAUCAACGCGAACAGACACGACAUCGUCGAAGGCGACCGCUUGGGGUCGAGCCCAUCUGCACCCUGCUGCAGGUGGCCCCG
rfam:Arthrobacter sp. Leaf234 contig_3, whole genome shotgun sequence.